AUCUACCAGUUGACUAACAUGAAAGAAAAAAGUUUGAUCAAAACUUCUAAACAUAAACACAGAAAAAUAAUAACAAAUCCUUAUAACGUUCAAUUAUUAUCACCAUAAUUCAAAACUUAAAUUUAUAAAUUAUAACAAAAUCAAUAAGCUAACUAACCCCAACAUAAAUCUGCAUGUAUUAUUAUCUCUAAUUUUCCCCUCAACCUCAAAACUAAUAUUUAUUCAAGAAAAAAAAAACCUCAAAAAUUUAAAAUAAAAAAAAAACUGUACAAAAAUAUAUCUAACCUUGUAGCCAGAAAAAAAAAAAGUAAAAAUUAAUUGAAGAAACCAAAGCUUCAGGUUGAUCUACAAGAUAACAAUCGAAUCGAAUAAUGAUCAAAUUGAAAGGAAAAAAAAAAGGAUUAAAUUAAAUAAUCAAACAAUUAAGAAAAUUAACAAUUAAAACAACAAAAAUAAAGCUAAUAAAAAUUACAAGAAAAAGAAAACCGAAGAAAUAGAGAAAUUCUUGAAAUGGAACCCUAACCUUUUGGUAGAUUUGGGAUCGAAGAAGAGAGAGAAAGAAAUUGAAAUGAGUGUUGUAAGUGUUGAUUUUUUUUUCUCUCUCUCUCUCUUCUAUUUUUUUUUUGUGUUUGAAAACUUUCUUUCUUUCUUCUCUUUGUUUUGCCAACGAAAGCUCUUUGGUGGUGAUUGGUGGCGACGUGGGUAAUGGUUAUUGGGGUGUGAGGUUUAUUGUUGAAUUUACUAUAUUGUCCUUUUUGGUGAUGCUGUUGGCGGUUUUGCCAGGUAGAAAUGUUUGGAAGGUAUGGGUAUGAUGGUCCACCUAAAUAUUUUAUGGAGUGUUUGUUACGUUAAAUUAAAUUAAGUGGAAGAUUUGGUGAGGGGGUAAGGUUUGUA
rnacentral:lncRNA from 1 species